rnacentral:rRNA from 1 species
UACGUAGGGUGCGAGCAUUGUCCGGAAUUAUUGGGCGUAAAGAGCUCGUAGGCGGCCUGUCACGUCGGAUGUGAAAGCCCGGGGCUUAACCCCGGGUCUGCAUUCGAUACGGGCAGGCUGGAGUUCGGUAGGGGAGAUCGGAAUUCCUGGUGUAGCGGUGGAAUGCGCAGAUAUCAGGAGGAACACCGGUGGCGAAGGCGGAUCUCUGGGCCGAUACUGACGCUGAGGAGCGAAAGCCAGGGGAGCGAACGGG